GACGAACGCUGGCGGCAUGCCUAAUACAUGCAAGUCGAGCGAACAGAUGAAGUGCUUGCACUUCUGACGUUAGCGGCGAACGGGUGAGUAACACGUAAGGAAUCUACCUAUAAGCGGGGGAUAACAUUCGGAAACGGGUGCUAAUACCGCAUAAUAUCUUCUUCCGCAUGGAAGAAGAUUGAAAGACGGCUCUGCUGUCACUUAUAGAUGACCUUGCGGUGCAUUAGUUAGUUGGUGGGGUAACGGCCUACCAAGACGAUGAUGCAUAGCCGACCUGGGAGGGUGAUCGGCCACAUUGGGACUGAGACACGGCCCAAACGCCUACGGGAGGCAGCAGUAGGGAAUCUUCCGCAAUGGGCGAAAGCCUGACGGAGCAAUGCCGCGUGAGUGAAGAAGGCCUUCGGGUCGUAAAACUCUGUUAUAAGAGAAGAACAAAUUGUAGAGUAACUGCUACAGUCUUGACGGUAUCUUAUCAGAAAGCCACGGCUAACUACGUGCCAGCCGCCGCCGUAA
rnacentral:rRNA from 1 species